UUGAGAAAUUCUUCCUCUUAAAACCCCCCUCUAAG
rnacentral:sRNA from 1 species